rnacentral:rRNA from 1 species
AUUGAACGCUGGCGGCAGGCCUAACACAUGCAAGUCGAACGAGGGGCGGACGGGUGAGUAAUGUCUGGGAAACUGCCUGAUGGGGGGGGAUAACUACUGGAAACGGUAGCUAAUACCGCAUACCAUCGGAUGUGCCCAGAUGGGAUUAGCUAGUAGGAGGGGUAAUGGCUCACCUAGGAGACGAUCCCUCGCUGGUCUGAGAGGAUGAACAUCCACACUGGAACGCAGACACGUUCCAGACUCCUACGUGAGGCAGCAGUGGGGAAUAUUGCACAAUGGGCGCAAGCCUGAUGCAGCCAUGCCGCGUGUGUGAAGAAGGCCUUCGGGUGGUAAAGCACUUUCAGCGAGGAGGCGUUACUCGCAGAAGAAGCACCGGCUAACUCCGUGCCAGCAGCCGCGGUAAUUC